rnacentral:rRNA from 1 species
AUUUCAUGGAGAGUUUGAUCCUGGCUCAGGACGAACGCUGGCGGCGUGCCUAAUACAUGCAAGUCGAGCGGAUCUUGUUCUUCGGGACAAGGUUAGCGGCGGACGGGUGAGUAACACGUGGGUAACCUGCCCAUAAGACUGGGAUAACAUUCGGAAACGAAUGCUAAUACCGGAUACGCGAAUCGGUCGCAUGGCCGAAUCGGGAAAGGCGGAG